rnacentral:rRNA from 1 species
GCCAGACUCCUACGGGAGGCAGCAGUGGGGAAUAUUGCACAGUGGGGGAAACCCUGAUGCAGCGACGCCGCGUGAGCGAAGAAGUAUUUCGGUAUGUAAAGCUCUAUCAGCAGGGAAGAAAAAAAUGACGGUACCUGAGUAAGAAGCACCGGCUAAAUACGUGCCAGCAGCCGCGGUAAUACGUAUGGUGCAAGCGUUAUCCGGAUUUACUGGGUGUAAAGGGAGCGUAGGCGGCGCGUUAAGUCUGAUGUGAAAACCCGAGGCUCAACCACGGGAGUGCAUUGGAAACUGGCGGGCUGGAGUGCCGGAGAGGUAAGCGGAAUUCCUAGUGUAGCGGUGAAAUGCGUAGAUAUUAGGAGGAACACCAGUGGCGAAGGCGGCUUACUGGACGGCAACUGACGCUGAGGCUCGAAAGCGUGGGGAGCAAACAGGAUUAGAUACCCCUGUAAU